rnacentral:rRNA from 1 species
GACGAACGCUGGCGGCGUGCCUAAUACAUGCAAGUUGAGCGCUGAAGGUUGGUACUUGUACCGACUGGAUGAGCAGCGAACGGGUGAGUAACGCGUGGGGAAUCUGCCUUUGAGCGGGGGACAACAUUUGGAAACGAAUGCUAAUACCGCAUAAAAACUUUAAACACAAGUUUUAAGUUUGAAAGAUGCAAUUGCAUCACUCAAAGAUGAUCCCGCGUUGUAUUAGCUAGUUGGUGAGGUAAAGGCUCACCAAGGCGAUGAUACAUAGCCGACCUGAGAGGGUGAUCGGCCACAUUGGGACUGAGACCCGGCCCAACCUCCUGCGGGAGGCAGCCGUAGGGCAUCUUCGGCCAUGGACGAAAGUCUGACCGCGCAACGCCGCGGGAGUGAAGAAGGUUUUCGGAUCGUAAAACUCUGUUGGUAGAGAAGAACGUUGGUGAGAGUGGAAAGCUCAUCAAGUGACGGUAACUACCCAGAAAGGGACGGCUAACUACGUG